rnacentral:rRNA from 1 species
UACGUAGGUGGCGAGCGUUGUCCGGAUUUAUUGGGUUUAAAGGGUGCGUAGGCGGCCCUAUAAGUCAGUGGUGAAAUAUCGCAGCUUAACUGUGAGGGUGCCAUUGAUACUGUAGGGCUUGAGUGAAUUUGAGGUAGGCGGAAUUGACGGUGUAGCGGUGAAAUGCUUAGAUAUCGUCAAGAACACCGAUAGUGAAGACAGAUUACCAAGCUUCAACUGACGCUGAGGCACGAAAGUGUGGGGAUCAAACAGG